AUUGAAACUCCCAAAGAUGUUCAGGAAAAGUUUGGCCGAACUGUGGUUGAAUCAUAUCUACUGUGAUAGGUAUGAUCUUCAUCUUGCCCUUAAGUUUCUCUAUUUUUGUGGGGAGGUUUUUGUUGUCUCAUAUGAGUACUACUCUUGUUCAAUCUCAGGUUUACAAAGAAACAAUAUUAUCUGUGGAUAGAUUAAUCUCUUGAGCAUUUGGGAUGACCAAGCUGUUAUUUUCUGAAUCGGGGUUAUAUAAUAGGGAAAACAAACGAUGCAGUGCCGGUGGCAAACAGAUGCUGAAAGGAGAACCACUUUGCUUUUCUUUUUGAAAUGUGGAAUCAAAAUUGCUGAAAUUGAGGAGCAUAAUCAAUAAAAUGCUUUUAGUUUUGCAUAGUGAACUAUUCAUACCAAAAUCAUUUUUCUUGAUGCAGUUGCAUAUUUUAGUUGAUUAUGGUUUUAGGCUUAUGCUCUUUCUCUGUCUCUCAUGAAUUGUGCUAAGGAUAGGAAAUAACGUUGAUAUGAGCACUUAAUUUGUAGGAUUUAGAUUCCAUUCCACAGCUUCACUUGGUGUAGUUUUGUAUCAGCUCUUUUAAAUAUGUAUUUUUCCUUCAAAUUAUAAACUUUUAGAGUCUUCUUGAUCCAUUCAUUGCGUGCAGAAAAUAAAUCAAAGUGGAGUAUGAAUGAUAUAUAGACAUUUCUCUUUUAUAGAGAGGAACAACGACGUCAAUAAAAAUAAAUAACAUUUCAACUGAAUUAUUUCAACUUAGAUAAAUGAAAAACUUGAUGCCAUAUUUGGAUUCUAGCGAAAAAAGACAAGAGGCAGUCUUGUCUCUUGUGUACCACCGGUGGCACGGUGCCACCGGGUUUUCUACAGCCUUUUUUUUAUAAUGUAAACGGGUCCGGGUUUAAACCCGAAUUUGCUAAAUGAAUCAUGAUUUGGCGUGGGUAUGACCCGGUGGCACGGUGCCACCGGUGGUACACAAGUAUUUGUGAAAAGACAAUGCAUAUGUGGAAUGCAUUUGUAAGUGACAAAUAUGAUAGUGAAAAGCAUUAACAAUGAAAACCACACAUUAAUCUUGUCUAUUUAGUUAUGUAUUUAAAUAAAGAACACACUAAUCUUUUGUCUGUUGGUAACUUCACUUUCUUCGGUCGUGUUCUUGAAAAUACUACUGCUUUAUUGCUUUUGAUAAGAAGGAUACCAUUUUCACAAAUAAAAUACUAUACACAAACUACAUUUGCACAUUGCUUUCCUUUGCUUGCUCUUGUUUUUAGCCUUUAGGUGAGUUGGAGGUUACAAUAUGAUAAUCAGAUACUGUAGUUCCUGCGUCACAUUAUUUAUAGCCUAUGCAUUUUCGGCACAGAGAUUAAGGAGAACAAAAUUAUGUGUGUGUCACAAGUGCUUAGUAUUGUGUUUAAAGGAAUUUUUUAUUGUUCUUAAUUUUACCAAGGAAAGUGAAUUUUUUUUCCCUUUCACUUUACUUUUUAUUUAUAUUUUCAGAUUAUUUAAUUAUUGUAUUUUUGAAAAUACAACAUGGAAAUUAUAUGAUAGCGUUAGAUCAGCUGCAGUCUGCAGAUUUAGGGUUAUCUUUAUUAUAUUAGUUUUUGUUAGUUCAUAGUUAUCUUUUAUUUUUUCGCAGUAGUUCAAUUAUUUAGGGUUAAGUUUUUAGGUCAAGACUCAUGGGCUCCAAGUUAAUUAAUUGGGCCUCAAGUCAUUAGGUCUAUAUAUAGUUCUUUACGAUUUAGGUUAAUUAUCUGGGGAUCAUUGUUUAGGGACAGCAAUAGCUGUAGGGCAGAGAUAUUUUUCUCUGAGGGCCUCGCAGGAGGAGUUUUAUAUAUUGUAUUUUUUUAUUUUCUUUCUUAUUUCUUCAUCUUCAUACGCCUUUACUCUAUCAAAUUGGUCCGACCUGCCGGAUCGAAACAUGACGAUGACGAGAGACCAACAACGCAUGGAGCAGAUAGAGAAGGCACUGGAGGAACUUCGCGCUGCCCAGUCUGCAGCGGCGGCGAAGCAAGCAGCGUCAGAUUCUAAACUUGACGCCAUUCUCGCCCAGUUGAAUCCUUGAUCACUUUGAUCGGGCCCAUCCCUGCUGUCGGAGUCAGAAAGUUCCCCCACUCCGAUGUUGCAGAAGAUGGAGAUGCCCAGUUUCGACGGAUCUGAUGCUCGUGCAUGGCUUGCACGUGCAGAGCAGUAUUUCUUGGUGCACCAGACACCUGCGGCGAAGAAGGUGGAGUUCGCCGUGAUAGCCUUGUCAGGGUCAUCGAUGUCUUGGUAUCAAUUGCUGAUCAGGAGAAUACCUAAUCCCGAUUGGGUAACUUUUCGUCAGGAGUUGCUGAUUCGAUAUGGCGAUGAGUCCGCAAUUAACGGCUAUGAAGCCUUGCUUGCAGUCAAGCAAACAGGUUCUCUCGAGGAAUAUAUCGCCGCUUUUGAGAAUAGGGUUUCACAAAUUCCUGAUUUCUCGGAUGCGCAUUACUUGGGAUUUUUCUUGGGUGGGUUGAAGAAGCAUCUGCGAGCCCAGAUUCAAGAUAGUGUAAUUUUCAGCUAUUCAGCCGCUUUACAGGCUGCUCGAAAGAUAGACCAUGCGACAUCGCCAGCCCCACCGUCGAAUACUACAAGGUCGGUUGUCUCCCACACGUCGUCCGCUUCCCCGGCUGCCUCCCUCACUUCGUCUGCCCCUCCCGCAAUUUUCGCAACAUCUCCAAUGAGGAGUACAUGAAACACCGUGCAGCUGGCACUUGUUUUCGCUGCGGCCUAAAAUAUGGGCCAUUGCAUCGCUGCCCACCUAAAACACUACAGGUUUUAAUCGGUGACAUGGAAGAUGACCCGGGCAGGGACCUAGAGAAUUAUGAGGAUACCGGGCUGAAGGAGGAAGUCCCAUGGGACCAUAUGAAUCAGCAACCGCCUUGAGGACAAGGCUGUUUCGACAGGCGGGCAAUUGAUAGCGUUAGAUCAGCUGCAGUCUGCAGAUUUAGGAUUAUCUUUAUUAUAUUAGUUUUUGUUAGUUUCAUAGUUAUCUUUUAUUUUUCGCAGUAGUUCAAUUAUUUAGGGUUAAGUUAUUUAGGUCAGACUCAUGGGCUCCAAGUUAUUUAAUUGGGCCUCAAGUCAUUAGGUCUAUAUAUAGUUCUUUACGAUUUAGGGUUAAUUAUCUUGGGAUCAUUGUUUAGGGACAGCAAUAGCUGUAGGGCAGAGAUAUUAUUCUCUGAGGGCCUCGCAGGAGGAGUUUUAUAUAUCGUAGUUUUAUUUUCUUUCUUAUUUCUUCAUCUUCAUACGCCUUUACUCUAUCAUUAUAUGAAAUAUAUAAAGGAAUCCGCACACACUGAAAUUUAAAGGAAUUAAAAAAAAUAAACUGAAAAUUUUCAUUUCAUUAUGGCGUUAGUUUUUGGCUGCCAUCAUCCUCAAAACCAACAAAAAGAAAUCUGCCAAUCUCUAAAAUUUCAUUCAAACAACUUAAAAUUUUCAAACUUCCCACAAUUUAUAUGUUUUGAAGAGUGACAACAUUGUGUGCUGUAUCACGUGUAUAUGUCUAUUGUUUUAUGAAGAAUGCUGAUAUUUCAUAGUUAGUUUCUUUUUCCNAAAAAGUUGUCCAUAAAAAUCACAAAAUGGGUGUUAAAAUGAGACAAAGUUAGAAAUAUCCCUAAAGCUUAUGGAUGAAGAUCAAGUCAGCGAGCACUAAACAGAGGUGAUUGCUGAAAUCGAGGGACGUGCAACUUUUAUACAUUGAGUAAUUUUAAAUAGUUUAAACUUAUUUAAAAGUGUGAUUGGAAUGAGAUUAUUGUAUGUUUGUGAUUAGAAUAAUGUGUAUACUAUUACAUUUUAGGCCUUAAAAUAGAUUAAAAAUAAGGACAUAAUAGGCAAACUAAAUUUGGUAAAACCAGACACUUUUAUAGUAGGUAUAGAUUAUACUAAAUUAGUAUAUUCCCACAUGCAAUUGAAUUCCUCAUCACAUCAAACUACACGAAAGUUGGGAUCAAUGUACUAUAACAUGAAAAGUCAAAAAAAAACUAUAAAAUGAAAGGGUGGGUCCCCUUGUAAUUCCUCAUGUUCCUCUACUAUCUUUUUCAAAGACACAGCCAUUGAUUCACUGCACCCCACCAGUUCAAUUGAUUUGAGUGUUGGUAUUUCUCCAAUUUCUAAAGGGAACUCCUCCAACGACCACAUGCAUGAGAGAUGAAGUUGCUCAAGGCGUGGCAAGCAGGAGCCCUCUAACGUCCAGCAUUCCAUAUCCCAACACGCCCACAAACUCAAGUAUUUGAGGCACGGGAAUUGGCCUUCAACUAUUUCCCAUCUGCGUCUUGCAAACUGCCCACAACUCAGUUGGAGCUUCUCAAGAAGUGGUAAUGAAGCUAUCUUUUCCAGAAUUUCCUCCAAAUGGAAGUUUCCGCAUUCAAGAUACAGCUUCUUGAGUGAGUGCGGGAAGCUAAUACUCUGCAGAUACUCAUCACAUCUAUAUCCAAUAUCGCACCUCAAGCUUUCCAGCUUACAUAGACAUUGAAGAUAGCUGAGGCACUUCACUCUCUCCAUUACUUUAUCAUGGUAUUCUAUAUUCAGUUUCUUGAUAUUGGGAAUUCUCUUAACCACUUCUUCAUUCAAGUUGAAAUCUCUCACUCCUUUGAGCGUCUCUAGAUUCUCCAUCAUAACAUCACUAUCCCCGCUCGAAGGAUCUGGGAGAUACAUUCCAUAUUCUCUAUAUACGAACACGACAUGGUUAAGCUCAUCCAUUUUCCAAAUUUCAACAUGCUUAAGCUGAUGCAUUUUCCAAAUUUCCACUGGUGCAGUCGUAAGUUCACCCUUAUAAGUAACAAUUAGAGUGUGUAGAUUCCACAGCAGACUAAUUGAAGAAGGGAUUUGGAACCCCUUUCGAAAUACAGCCGAAAGGUACCUCAAGUUCACCAGUUGAAACACAUUUUCUUCUAAUACCCUGGAAUACUUAUUGUAUCAUGUCCUCAAAAAUCUGAAAUCUAGCAAUUCUGGAACCGUAUCAGCAUGACAUAUGAAAGAACGAGCACGUGACGACAUAGUUUCAGGCAUCCCGACUUCUACUGAAGUGCUUUUGGGAAUAACAAUGCGGCGUUGGCUAUUUAUCCCUCGAGGACAAUGUUGCCCUAACACAUAAUAAAACCUCUGCUUUUCAGCUUCUUGAAAUGAUAAUCUCUCAUAAAUCAUGCAUUUUCAGUACUUUAUAUUCCCAACUGCCCCCAACUAUGAACUAGAAUGAGGUUUCAUCGACUAGCUCCUUCAAAUACUCUGGCAAUGUUUCAGCUUUUAUUGAUUAUUGGUUUAAGAAAGCCUUCAGAAACCCAUAACCUCAUGAGUUCUGCAACCCUAAUUUCCUCAUCUUCCCCAAACAUCCCCAUGUACAAAAAACAAGGCUUCAGAUAGGCAGGCAAAUGGUCAUAGCUCAGUUUCAAUACUCUCAACCAAUAUUCAUCAUUCUCAGAAUUCACUAUUGAGCUUAUGUUUUCCUCUAUGUGCUCCCAAUAUUCCGGUGUAAGUUCGACUUUGCCAAAGACCCCCAAUCACAGCAAUCGACAAAGGAAGUCCCUUACACUUCCCACAAUUUUCUUUCCGAUUCCUCAGAUGAAGAGGAAAACCCUCACCCCAAAUACAGUUUUGGAGAACAAAUCCAGCUACUAACAUCAUCUAAAAAUCUCAUACAAUGCUUUAGAGUUUGUCAACUCGAGCCAAGUUUGAGAGCCUAGUCGUUACGAUUACUCGACUCCCAUCAUUGUAUCGGAAAGAAAAACUAUCUUGUCCCACACCUCUACACUCCACAUAUCAUCCAUAUUAUAAUAUACCUCCUACCAUAAAUACUUGUCAAUUUCUCCUAAUCUCUCACUCGAUCACUCCAAAUCUCCAUCACUUGGUGAAGAACUUCUCUAAGUGUUCUUAACAUUAUAAGUUUGAGAAAUUGUAGUCCAUGCACGAAUAUCAAAAUGCUCCUUAACAAGGGCAUGCUCAAAUAUAUGUCGGGCAAGAGUGGUCUUACCAAUCCCGCCCAUCCCUGUGAUUGGGAUGAUUUGGCGGUUACGGUUCCCUCCAGUGAGCCGAUCCAAGAGUUGAAGUUGCACGUCAUCAAAGCCCACCAUCUUGCUUUCCUUCACAUUGGAAGAGGACGUCAAGGAGCCAGCAUGAGUCGAGGAGACCUUUCUCUGCAGCUGAGCUUCAGCUGAAGUCUCCAUGGCUUCCUUCUUGAUCACAUUCAUUUCUUCUAUCACUUGCUGUAGAUCUUCAUAGAAGUCGAUGCAACUGACUUCCUCUCUAGAAUUCACUUCUUCAGCCGCAUGAGCUGCAUCUACAACAUAGCCUUGGAGAAAUUCCUGCAAGAAUAGGUAAUUAAUAAUUUGAGUUAGAGAUUCAUUUCUUCAAUCACUUGUCUUAGAUCUUGAUAGAAGUUGAUGAAACUGACUUGAUUGGGACUAGAUCUACCCAGUUUAAUCACGUUCACAAUAUGUGAUUCGAUAACAUCUUCAACAGCAUGAGCUGCAUCUACAAUACGCAUCUCCAGCGGAUCAGCUUCAUCUCCGUCAGCAACAGGGGACUUAUAACCUUCAAGAAAUUCCUGCAAAAAGGUAAGAAUUUGAGUGAGAGAUUCAACUUGUUGUUUGUCGAUAGAAAUUGGAGGGGAAUGGUGAUGCUCGAUUGUAUCGAUGAUAUGCAUAAGAGAAACCAAGGCUGCAUAUGCCGCCAUGAUCCAAGGAAAAACACUGUAUAUUUUUCUGAGAAAGAAUUUGAUGGAAUCUGAGUUUAGGUUCAGCAAAAACAAUGUGUAAAAUGGCUAUAUCUCCUCAAUUAUUAUCACAAACAAUGUGUCCUUGACGUCAUUUAACUAUGCGCUGAUUCAAGUCUUUAAAAAUAAGAAUAUAUGAGUAGAGUAGGUGAGUGAUGUUGAUUUCCAUGUUCUAAUUCAUGCAUCCAAGAAUAAACUAUGAUUAAUGAUGCUCAACUUGGUUGGUAUUCACCCUUGAAAUUUCCGAAUAGGUUGAAGACAGUGGGUAGAUUUGUACAAGAUUAAUUUAGAAAACAACAUGCAAGUCGUCAAGUUGGUAUAUAAAAUAUGGAAUUUUGAAAAAAAAAAAAACAAAAAUUGCAAGUUGGGAAAGUUGUCAUAUUUUGUUUUGUUUGAAUCUAAUUGAUGUUUUUUCCUUUUUUAAAUCCUGAAGUACAUGUCAGGAUCCGCCUAAACAUAUUGAAACACAAGGGAAUUCAGCAACAAAAAUGGUCGAAAAAACAAGCUCAAUGUUGUACCAGGAAGAGAGCAGUUAUUUCCCUAAAAAAAAAAAAAAGAAGAAGAAGAAGGAAGAGAGCAGUUAUUUAAGCAUGACAAAAAAUGCAACAUAUUUCUAAAAAAUCUAUCUUAAAGAUUCAACUUUCAAUUGGAAAUCAAAUUCAAAAUUGAAUAGCAAACUUGUGAUUGUAAUAAAAUUAAAAGUUUAUUUAUAAAUUAUAUCUUCUUUAUUUUCUUUUUCUUUAACUUCUUGUAUUUUUUUUUGUUUUUUUAUUCUUUUUAAAAUAUUUAAAGGACGAAGGGAGUAUAAAUUAGUUGUAAAAUUUUAAGCAUCAAUUUCCACUACCAAUUAAUUCAAACUAGAUUUUCCAUUCGUGCGAUGCACGAAAAAUAUUUGACAUCUUUAAAAAUUUUAAAUUUUAAAUAAGGGAGCUCAAUCCCAACACGCCCAGCCCAAUGAAUUAAAUAGAAAACAAAAUCGGGUGCAGCCGAAUAAAAAUAAAAACCGGCCCAAAUGCUAUUGUAUACGUCAGCCCAAUCAAAUAAAAAUAAAAGGAAAUUGGGCCAGCUAAAUUUAAAAGGAAACGGCCCAAAUAGAAGCCCAACCCUCAAGCCCCAACUGGAAUGUGGAUGUAUGAUUGUUUUGUGGUAUUUUGCAUGCUGAGUGAUUCUUCGCUUAGUUGUGAGUGUGUUUGUUGGUGUCAAGGAUUUCAAAUUCAUGCUGUACUUAUGGGAUCAUCGAGCGUGAGGAUGAUGGUGGAUGUGUUGAUCGUGAGGAGGAUCGUGAGAAGGAGGAGGAUAAAGAAAGUAAAGAAAGUGAAGAGAAAUUUGGUUUAUUCGAGUUUGAUAAUCUGAAACAGAAGGAUAAUAAAUAUAUGGAAAGGAUGAACGAAAUAGAUAAAAAACUUGAGGAGAAACUGGCAGUGUUGGAUUAUACUUUUGGAAGGAAGGGGAAACUAUUGGAGGAGGAAAUUAGAGAUCUUGCGGAACAUUGAUCGAACAGAAGAGACAGCCUCUUUAUAGGAAGGUAAAUACAUGCAUCUAUCAAUCUUUCUUUCUCAGCUAUCCUCUGUGAUUCCCUAUGUAUUGAUUCCAGUUGGAUUUUAUGAUCUACUUAUCACCAGCUGCUUUGUUAAUCCUGAAUUCAAGUACCUAUUGCGUGAUCAUGUAGAUGGGGUCCCUAUUCUUAUCGUUUACCAUUUGUUUCAAGUCAUGUUUUCUAAGAUAUGUUGCAUCGAAAAUUAUUAAGUUUGAAAUUUGAGAUUGUUUAUAUGGUAAGUUCACAUUUGAGCUAGCAAGUAGUACUAUUAUACUAUGCCACUGCAGUUUAUUGUCAUGACAGAUUAUUUUCUACUUUAACCACAAAAGGUAUCAGAACUAUACAUGCAUUCAAAUUCAUACUGUCAUGCUUCUUUAUGCUGCACGUGUGUAAAUUUGGCUUGAAAACUAGACAUGCUUAUAUACUAUUGUCUGAGAAUGUGCAGUAAACUCUAAAAGGUAUUAUGCCACUGGAUUGUCUGUUCAAAUAAGAAAACGUUUCAAUAUUUAUAGAAACUCAUCGCGGCAUCUGUUAUUUAUAGUUUAAUAUGUUAAUGGCCUAUUGCCACAGGCAUAUGAGAAGUGCUUUCAGAAUCUGCAUUAUGUAGAGCGGCAUGAGGAUCAUACAAUUUCACAUGCAAUUCAGACAUCAUAUAAAAAGACUAAGGUAUCGUCAAAUUUCUAGUUGUAUAUCUUUGUUGAUGGUUGAAAUUGAUAGAAAGCUGUUUUUCUUCUUUAGGGAUUUUGGCCUGAAAUUUUUAAGUGCUUGUAGGUGUAUCUUUGGCCAGCUCCUACACAAUCAGGGAUGAAGGCAGGCAAAACUGUGGAGUUGAUUCUUAACUUAGCUGGUUACAGGAAUGUGAAAUCAAAGGUAUAAAAGUUGAUGCCAUAUUGUGCCUAUAUACAUGAACUUUUAGUGAAUUCUGGUUUUCCACAUGAACUAAAUAUCCCGCCUCCAAAUACACGAACUUUUAAUUGUUCCGAUUUUUCACACGGCUAUCAAUUUUCGGCGAUCGUGGCUAGUUAAAGUGACAAAUUAAUAUCAUCGUGACAAGCUGAAGUAGCGUAUAGAAAUCCAAGUACCUCGUCUAGCACAUCAAUUGUUUAAACCAUGUAGGCAUUUAAGGCAUCCACCUCAACAUUAAUUUGGGUGCAAUUGAUAAUCGUGUGAAAAAUCAGAACAAUUGAAAGUUCAUGUGUUUGGAGGCAGAUUUUUUAGUUUAUGUGCAAACUAGAAUUGAUUGAAAGUUUGUGUAUUUAGGCGCAACUAACCCAUUGGACUUUGCAAUUGCUUAAAUUUUAAUUAAUUGCACAAUUUUCAUCAAAUUUGCCUCUUGAAUUGAAUAACAUGGAGUAAUUUUUUGAGAUAAUUGAAUAACACAGGUCUAGCAGAUUUUUGUUGUCUCAUAUGAGUACUACUCUUGUUCAAUCUCAGGUUUACAAAGAAACAAUAUUAUCCGUGGAUAGAUUAAUCUCUUGAGCAUUUGGGAUGCCCAAGCUGCUAUUUUCUGAAUCGAGGUUAUAUAAUAGGGAAAACAAAUGACGCAGUGCCGGUGGCAAAAAGAUGCUGAAAGGAGAACCACUUUGCUUUUCUUUUUGAAAUGUGGAAUCAAAAUUGCUGAAAUUGAGGAGCAUAAUCAAUAAAAUGCUUUUAGUUUUGCAUAGUGA
rnacentral:lncRNA from 1 species